rnacentral:precursor_RNA from 1 species
UUUCGCCUGACGCCUCCCCUCGAAACGUGCGGGGGAAGAGCGGACAUGGUCGUCCGGACCCUUCGAGGUGCGGUCGGCUGAAAUACGCGCGCUGGGCCGUCGCCCCCGGCCCGACCGGCGGUGGCUCCGUUCGGGGUCGGCGUUUGUCGGGAUCGCGGAUCGUGCGGCUCCGUGCGAUCGAACUUUGCAUGCCUU